GCGGCAGCGGCGGCGCCGACGAAGGCGGAGGUCCAGCUCCAUCUUACUCCUCUUCUUCUUCCUUCUUUGCUCAUUGGCCUGAGAAGAUACUGAAUUUUGAUUGGGGGGCAAAAAUGGAGGACAAAAGAAAAGUAGUUGAAAAUGGACUGGGGAAUGUGAAAUGACAUUUAUGUCCCUUGUUGUGAUCUUAAAUACAGCAGAAAAGUUAGGCAUAAUGUCAGAAGUUUGGUAAUUUCGAAUUCUCCCAUACUUUCUGCAUGUUUUUAGCGAUCAUAAUAAUCGAGAUUUAUAUUCAGAAGUCUCGAGUUUGAAUUAU
rnacentral:lncRNA from 1 species